AAGUCGUAACAAGGUCUCCGUUGGUGAACCAGCGGAGGGAUCAUUACCGAGUUUACAACUCCCAAACCCCUGUGAACAUACCAAUUGUUGCCUCGGUGGAUCAGCCCGCUCCCGGUAAAACGGGACGGCCCGCCAGAGGACCCCUAAACUCUGUUUCUAUAUGUAACUUCUGAGUAAAACCAUAAAUAAAUCAAAACUUUCAACAACGGAUCUCUUGGUUCUG
rnacentral:misc_RNA from 1 species